rnacentral:misc_RNA from 1 species
GGAAGCAAAAGUCGUAACAAGGUCUCCGUUGGUGAACCAGCGGAGGGAUCAUUAAAGAGUUCUAUAACUCCCAAACCCAUGUGAACAUACCUUACGUUGCCUCGGCAGGUCGUGCCUACCCCGUAGCGCCCUACCCUGUAGGACCUACCCGGUAGACGCGGGUAAGCCUGCCGGCGGCCCACGAAACUCUGUUUAGUAUUGAAUUCUGAAGCUAUAACUAAAUAAGUUAAAACUUUCAACAACGGAUCUCUUGGUUCUG